rnacentral:lncRNA from 1 species
AGAAAGAGACCAAAUGAGAGUGAAAGGCAAGGGCAAGCGAUAGAAAGGAGAGUCCCUCGCGCGAACUACUACUACUAGAAAAUGGUGAGACCAUUAGUGAAAGAAGGACCAAGGAGGAUCCUAUCCUAAAGGAGAAGGAGGAGUAGGAGGAGUCAGUUUUCUUUGAAGAUCGAGGAACGUAGUGUCGGACAAUUAUGCCAUUCGGAAGAAGUCUUCUACAGAAGAAAAGCCUGUUACGAGUAAGUGGAGAGGAAAGAUCUCCAGGGAUUCUUAUCUCGUGCCAUUCGGAAGAAGUAUUCUACAGAAGAAAAGCCUGUUACGAGUAAUUGGAGAGGAAAGAUCUCCAGGGAUUCUUAUCUCAUUCCAUUCCAGUGGCUCAACCAGUAACCAAUGGCGAAAACUAAAAAAUCCAUGGUUUCCAGGUAGAACCCUAUUUCGCCCAAGUUAUUUCGGUACCGGAAAAAAAAAUCGGUUUUUCGCACAGCUUGCUCAUAGUGUAGGUCCCACUUGUAUAUCGUAUUUGGCCGAAGAAGCAUCGGACAGGUUGGAGUUCGUACCUUCUUGGGACUCCAUGGACCAAGAUCUGCUUUUAUUAUAUGGUCAAUACCAAUCUACUUUAGUAGAUCAUGUGGAUGUAGAAAAAGCUUCUAAUUUGGAUGAAACAGAAACAUCUCUUUUCCAUUACUAUUUACCCAGUUCAUAUCUUUGUUUCGUGUGUUCCUGGGAGGAAUUCGAUCUCGGAAUACCACCUAAAUAACUACGGCCAGAGAGUCAAAUAGGUCGGGAAGAAAGAGUCUGAGGUCGGGUCGGACGACAUACAUCUUGGUUGGUUCCACCACCACU